rnacentral:piRNA from 1 species
UGGCAUGCACAUGUUUUGCAAGUGCUGUA